UGUUUUCUGCCCAUUUCUUCACUGGGUUAUUUGUUUUUCGGGUGUGGAGUUUGAGAAGUUCUUUAUACAUUUUGGAUACUAACCCUUUAUUGGAUAUGUCAUGUGCAAAAAUCUCCCAUUUCCUAG